GUUAAAACGUAGUCCUGGGAGGCUGACACCAAUCACUCCUGCACUUGACCCCUUCAGGGCAAUUUAUAAACACUGGCUAACUAAUCCUCCCUGUGUGGCUGGGGGAAGGAGCAGGGAUUUUUCACUUCUCUCCCACCUCCAUUUUGUACAGGUUUGAUGUGAGGUAGGAUCCCGUGCCCAUUUUUUCCAGGUGACAGUGGCCAGGAGUGGGCCUGGCUGUGUUGGUGUGAUAGGAUGGGGCAACACAGCCAAGCAGGACACAGGUGAGGACCACAACCUUGGCUCAGGAGAGAGAUUUAUAAGUAGCACACCACAUUGCUCUUCUUUUUAUAAACCAUCGGAAAUGUCUUGAUGCCAGAUGCUCAGCUGGUGUAAAUCAGCAGAGUACCACAGAUUUAUACCAGCUGGAGUGCUGGCCCCUGUGCCCCAGUGGGAAGGGGAUGGGGAAAAGGGAGAGAGGCUGUUUCUGCUAACCGCUCCACCGACCUUCCUUCUGGGUUGUGUGCAAGAUCUUGUUUUGGGAUUCCACCUGCUCCUGAUCACUUCAACUACCACAGUGCUGGCAUAAGUGGUGAAGAAAGGGGAUUAUUUGAAGCAAAUAGCCUAAACCUAAUCUAUGGACAAAAUCUUCUUACUACAUUGAGCUGUGACUAAUAGAAAUGGGCAGCAAAUGCUGAUGCGGUCUUUGUCAACAAAAUUUUGGUGGACAACUGGUAAUGGACUUCACUCUAGGCUUGCA
rnacentral:lncRNA from 12 species